rnacentral:rRNA from 1 species
UAGAUGCGAGAGUAGAGCAUAUCAAUAAGCGGAGGAAAAGAAACUAACAAGGAUUCCCCUAGUAACGGCGAGUGAAGCGGGAAGAGCUCAAAUUUGAAAUCUUCAAGGUUUGACCUUGACGAAUUGUAGUUUAAAGAAGUGUUUUCGGUUAGAGGAGUAGUAAAAGUUCUUUGGAAUAGGACAUCAUAGAGGGUGAGAAUCCCGUAUUUGACUAUUCUUUCUAGCUUUGUGAUACACUUUCAACGAGUCGGAUUGUUUGGGAAUGCAGUCCAAAAUGGGUGGUAAAUUUCAUCUAAAGCUAAAUAUUGGCGAGAGACCGAUAGCGAGCAAGUACCGUGAGGGAAAGAUGAAAAGAACUUUGAAAAGAGAGUUAAACAGUACGUGAAAUUGUCAAAAGGGAAGCGUUUGACACCAGUGUUGUUUUCUCGAAAAUCAAUUAAAAAUGGCCUGGAUUUUGUGUUGUAUUGACUUUAUCAGCUUUCUGCACUUUUUUCUUGUCUUUUUUAAUGCACUUUUCGUUUAACAAGUCAACAUCAAUUUCUUUUGUUGUAAAAGAGUCAUUGGAAGGUGGCUUUCAUUUCGGUGAAAGUGUUUAUAGCCUUUGACUUCUGCAAUCGGAGAGAUUGAGGUCUGCAGCGUAGAUCCUUCGGGGUUAGAUACAUUUGUGCCAAGUUAUAGUUUUUCAUAGACAACAUGUUGACUAUGAUUAAUCAUGUAGCUUACUCGCUUAUGCUAUUUUACCUACGCUUAGGAUGUUGACACACGCGCGUGCUCG